rnacentral:rRNA from 1 species
AUACGUAUGUCGCAAGCGUUAUCCGGAUUUAUUGGGCGUAAAGCGCGUCUAGGCGGCUUAGUAGGUCUGAUGUGAAAAUGCGGGGCUCAACCCCGUAUUGCGUUGGAAACUGCUAAACUAGAGUACUGGAGAGGUAGGCGGAACUACAAGUGUAGAGGUGAAAUUCGUAGAUAUUUGUAGGAAUGCCGAUGGGGAAGCCAGCCUACUGGACAGAUACUGACGCUAAAGCGCGAAAGCGUGGGAAGCAAACAGGAUUAGAUGCCCUGGUAGUCCACGCCGUAAACGAUGAUUACUAGGUGUUGGGGGUCGAACCUCAGCGCCCAAGCUAACGCGAUAAGUAAUCCGCCUGGGGAGUACGUACGCAAGUAUGAAACUCAAAUGAAUUGACGGGG